rnacentral:rRNA from 1 species
GACGAACGCUGGCGGCGUGCCUAAUACAUGCAAGUAGAACGCAGUUGCGAACGGGUGAGUAACGUGUAGGUAACUGCCUCAUAGCGGGGGAUAACUAUUGGAAACGAUAGCUAAUACCGCAUACUGUGAGAUGUACCUGCGUUGUAUUAGCUAGUUGGUGAGGUAAAGGCGCACCAAGGCGACGAUACAUAGCCGACCUGAGAGGUGGUUCGGGCACACUGGGACUUGGGAACGGCCCCGAAUCCUACGGGAGGCAGCAGUAGGGAAACUUCGGCAAAUGAGGGAAGUCUGAACGAGCAACGGCGCGGGAGUGAAGAAGGUUUUCGGAGCGUAAAGGUCUGUUGUUGGAGAAGCGGUAACUAACGAGAAAGGAACGGCUAACUACGUGCCAGCAGCCGCGGUAAUAC